CUUUUACCAAGUAUACUGCUGGUAAACAUUUUGUUAACAAGGUGGACACGCCCCCACUGAUAUUCCUUCUAAUUGCAGCGUGGGAGAGGAGGAUAUGACACGCGAUAUCGCAGGGAGUAGAAACACCCCUGUGAUACUGUUCUUAAUAUUCAGGGAGGAAGAGGAUGAUAUUACUCCCAAUACAGACGGGUGUACACCCUCUGUACACCGAGGGUGUACACCUGUCUGUGAAAGAAUGGACACGCCCCCACUGAUAUUGUUUUUAAUGCAGCGUGGGAGGGGAGGAUAUGACACGCGAUAUCGCAGCUGAGUGCCACGUGCUGACGUCACUAAGAUCAAUACAGCAAACUCUGAAAGAUGGACAGAGAGACAGGAGAUGGUCCUUUAUAAUGCAGUGUGAUCUGUGCUGCAAUAGAGUUUUGGAAGCUAGAAGUUCAAAACGAGGUGUUGGCAGCACCAUGCUCUCUCUGAAGAUGCUAGGAAGAAUCUGCUCCAUGCCUUUCCAUUCGCUCCUGGGGUUUCCUGCAAGCCCUGACAUUCCUUGGCUUGUAGAUGCAUCACCCCAGUUUCCGCCCCCAUCAUCACAUGGCCUCCUCUCUGUGUGUGCCUCUGCGUUCCCUCUAUUCUUCUUCUAAGGACACCGACACCAGUCAUAGUGGAUUAAGGGUCCACUCCUAACCAAUUACAUCUGCAACAACCCUAUUUCCAAAUAAAGUCACAUUCUAAGA
rnacentral:lncRNA from 1 species